UACGGAGGGGGCUAGCGUUGUUCGGAAUUACUGGGCGUAAAGCGCACGUAGGCGGCUUUGCAAGUCAGAGGUGAAAGCCCGGGGCUCAACCCCGGAAUUGCCUUUGAGACUGCAUCGCUAGAAUUGUGGAGAGGUGAGUGGAAUUCCGAGUGUAGAGGUGAAAUUCGUAGAUAUUCGGAAGAACACCAGUGGCGAAGGCGACUCACUGGACACAUAUUGACGCUGAGGUGCGAAAGCGUGGGGAGCAAACAGG
rnacentral:rRNA from 2 species